rnacentral:rRNA from 1 species
CGUAGUUAGCCGAGACUUAUUCCUGGGGUACCGUCCUUCCUCUUCCCCCAGAAAAGGGCUUUACGACCCGAAGGCCUUCAUCACCCACGCGGCGUCGCUGCGUCAGACUUUCGUCCAUUGCGCAAUAUUCCUA